rnacentral:rRNA from 1 species
ACGGAGGGUGCGAGCGUCGUUCGGAAUUACUGGGCGUAAAGCGUGCGCAGGCGGCGCGUUAAGACAGGUGUGAAAGCCCCGAGCUUAACUUGGGAAUUGCGCUUGUGACUGGCGUGCUGGAGUGUGGCAGAGGGAGGUGGAAUUCCACGUGUAGCAGUGAAAUGCGUAGAUAUCGGGAGGAACACCAGUGGCGAAGGCGGUCUUCUGGACUGUUUCUGACGCUCAGACGCUAAAGCUAGGGUAGUAAACG